GUCACAAGCGGCUGAUUUUUAUCGUCAACAACGAAGAUGUUUACUACGUUUCUGUUUCAGUAUUAGCGAUUCCUUCAUAUAGCGUGUUUUGCUUUCCGGCGAGUAGGAGCUGUAUAGGUUCAUGAAAUAUUUUGCGAGAUUGGUUUACUUUGAGGUUAUGCGGUUGAACAAUGUCUUCAAGACCUCUUGCUUAGUCUUGCACCUAUUCUUUGGAAGAAGACUUGAUGAUACGUUGAAGGUUAUAUAGUUCUACUUUUAAGUAUUCAGGGGCAACUGCUCGGAAAGUCUUCACCUACCCCUUUGAAUAUCUUCAAAACUAGAAUAUAAAUUUUCUAUUGUGCUAAAGUAAUUUCUUAUUUAUUUGAUAGUAUUGUUUGUCUGUUACUAAUUUUAAAUGGCUCUUCUUGGAAGCUUUAACUUAAUGAAUGUCAGCUUGUUUUAGUGCCUACAUGUAAGCUUUUAGUUUAAAUUUUAGAUAUUUAGCAGUUGAGACCAUUAAAUAAAUGUAACUAAGCUUUUUGACUUUUUGUCCAUUGGAAGUGUUCUUUUUAAGCCUUUCGAUAGUAUGGCAGUACGUAUUUGAAUACUUCAUUAUGUGCUGUUAAUUAAGAGUAAUUAGAAGAAAUUAAGAUUAACUUAGUGUAAUUAAGGUAUCAAUUUUUAAAAUAGUAUCUCGGUACCUCAUUAGCCAUUUGCUAUUAUGCCAGAAACUAGAUUCUUGAACCUUCCAGUAGUAUGUCAUUAUUGUAGUGGGGAUUUAUUUCCUAAUGGUAAUAUGCAAUUUAGUUAGAUAAGUAAAGGUGUAAAUUGAAAAGGUGGAAAUUGUUAAUAUAGUACUAAAAGAUAUGGCGGUAUAUUUUCGGUUUCUUUGCAUUAUUUAUUUGGCAAGACAAUAUGGAAAUUACCUAAAGCCUUACAGUAGUAUGGCGGUAUAUCUCAAUAGCGAAGUACUAUUUAAUUGUGCAAGAAACGGGAGGUAUUUUUAUCUUGAGCCUGUAUGAAGUGCACUAAGCUAAAAACGUAUCAAACUACUUUACAAUAGUAUGAGGGUAUUUCUCAUUGGCAUUGUACUAUUGACAUAAGCAAAAAACGGAAGGUGGAAAUGUUAGUCUUACUUUACAGUUGUGUGAAGGUACUAAUCAUUAGCAAUGACUUUUUUCGCAUUUUUUUACGCAGACUAAAGGUAUAUUUUGAUGGUUAUAAUUUAUUUGUACAAUCUAAAAGGUAGCUGAAACUACACUUAAUCUCUUACAAUUAAGUAAUGUAAUGAAAUGAGUUAUCUUUGUUAAAGCUUC